rnacentral:rRNA from 1 species
GGUUAAGUUAGAAAGGGCGCACGGUGAAUGCCUUGGCACUAGGAGCCGAUGAAGGACGGGACUAACACCGAUAUGCUUCGGGGAGCUGUAAGUGAGCUUUGAUCCGGAGAUUUCCGAAUGGGGAAACCCACUGUUCGUAAUGGAACAGUAUCUUUAUCUGAAUACAUAGGAUAUUGAAGGCAGACCCGGGGAACUGAAACAUCUAAGUACCCGGAGGAAGAGAAAGCAAAUGCGAUUUCCUGAGUAGCGGCGAGCGAAACGGAAUUAGCCCAAACCAAGAGGCUUGCCUCUUGGGGUUGUAGGACACUCUAUACGGAGUUACAAAGGAACGAAGUAAAUGAAGCGACCUGGAAAGGUCCGUCGAAGAAGGUAACAACCCUGUAGUUGAAACUUCGUUCCCUCUUGAGUGGAUCCUGAGUACGGCGGAACACGUGAAAUUCCGUCGGAAUCUGGGAGGACCAUCUCCCAAGGCUAAAUACUCCCUAGUGACCGAUAGUGAACCAGUACCGUGAGGGAAAGGUGAAAAGCACCCCGGAAGGGGAGUGAAAUAGAUCCUGAAACCGUGUGCCUACAAGUAGUUAGAGCCCAUUAAUGGGUGAUAGCGUGCCUUUUGUAGAAUGAACCGGCGAGUUACGAUUACAUGCGAGGUUAAGUUGAAAAGACGGAGCCGCAGCGAAAGCGAGUCUGAAUAGGGCGUUUAGUAUGUAGUUGUAGACCCGAAACCAGGUGAUCUACCCAUGUCCAGGUUGAAGUCCAGGUAACACUGGAUGGAGGACCGAACCCACGUAUGUUGAAAAAUGCGGGGAUGAGGUGUGGGUAGCGGUGAAAUUCCAAUCGAACCUGGAGAUAGCUGGUUCUCUCCGAAAUAGCUUUAGGGCUAGCCUCAAAUGAAGAGUUCUGGAGGUAGAGCACUGUUUGGACUAGGGGCCCAUCCCGGGUUACCGAAUUCAGACAAACUCCGAAUGCCAGAAACUUAUAUUUGGGAGUCAGACUGCGAGUGAUAAGAUCCGUAGUCAAGAGGGAAACAGCCCAGACCACCAGCUAAGGUCCCAAAGUAUACGUUAAGUGGAAAAGGAUGUGGAGUUGCCCAGACAACCAGGAUGUUGGCUUAGAAGCAGCCACCAUUUAAAGAGUGCGUAAUAGCUCACUGGUCGAGUGACUCUGCGCCGAAAAUGUACCGGGGCUAAACGUAUCACCGAAGCUGUGGAUUGACACCUUAGGUGUCAGUGGUAGGAGAGCGUUCCAGAGGCUGUGAAGUCAGACCGGAAGGACUGGUGGAGCGUCUGGAAGUGAGAAUGCCGGUAUGAGUAGCGAAAGAAGGGUGAGAAUCCCUUCCACCGAAUGCCCAAGGUUUCCUGAGGAAGGCUCGUCCUCUCAGGGUUAGUCGGGACCUAAGCCGAGGCCGAAAGGCGUAGGCGAUGGAUAACAGGUUGAUAUUCCUGUACCACCAAGCAUCGUUUGAGUGAUGGGGGGACGCAGGAGGAUAGGAGAUCACGCAGCUGGAUACGCGUGUUUAAGCAGUUAGGCUGGAAAUGAGGCAAAUCCCGUUUCCGUUCAGGCUAAGCUGUGAUGACGAGGGAAUUUUAGUACCGAAGUCUUCGAUUCCACACUGCCAAGAAAAGCCUCUAGCGAGAUGUAAGGUGCCCGUACCGCAAACCGACACAGGUAGGCGAGGAGAGAAUCCUAAGGUGAGCGAGUGAACUCUCGUUAAGGAACUCGGCAAAAUGACCCCGUAACUUCGGGAGAAGGGGUGCUCUGGUAGGGUGCAAGCCCGAGAGAGCCGCAGUGAAUAGGCCCAGGCGACUGUUUAGCAAAAACACAGGUCUCUGCAAAGCCGCAAGGCGACGUAUAGGGGCUGACGCCUGCCCGGUGCUGGAAGGUUAAGAGGAGGGCUUAGCGCAAGCGAAGGUCUGAAUUGAAGCCCCAGUAAACGGCGGCCGUAACUAUAACGGUCCUAAGGUAGCGAAAUUCCUUGUCGGGUAAGUUCCGACCCGCACGAAAGGCGCAACGAUCUGGGCACUGUCUCAACGAGAGACUCGGUGAAAUUAUAGUACCUGUGAAGAUGCAGGUUACCCGCGACAGGACGGAAAGACCCCGUGGAGCUUUACUGCAGCCUGAUAUUGAAUUUUGGCACAGUCUGCACAGGAUAGGCAGGAGCCUUGGAAGCCGGAGCGCCAGCUUCGGUGGAGGCGCUGGUGGGAUACUGCCCUGACUGUGUUGAAAUUCUAACCCGCACCCGUAAUCCGGGUGGGAGACAGUGUCAGGCGGGCAGUUUGACUGGGGCGGUCGCCUCCUAAAAUGUAACGGAGGCGCCCAAAGGUUCCCUCAGAAUGGUUGGAAAUCAUUCGCAGAGUGUAAAGGCACAAGGGAGCUUGACUGCGAGACCUACAAGUCGAGCAGGGACGAAAGUCGGGCUUAGUGAUCCGGUGGUUCCGCAUGGAAGGGCCAUCGCUCAACGGAUAAAAGCUACCCCGGGGAUAACAGGCUUAUC